AGAAUCAACGCUGGCGGCGUGCCUAACACAUGCAAGUCGAACGAGAAAGUGGUAGCAAUACCACGAGUAAAGUGGCGCACGGGUGAGUAACACGUGACUAACCUACCCUGGAGUGGGGGAUAACUGAGGGAAACCUUAGCUAAUACCGCAUAAUACCCACGGGUCAAAGGAGCAAUUCGCUCUGGGAGGGGGUCGCGGCCGAUUAGUUAGUUGGCGGGGUAAUGGCCCACCAAGACUGUGAUCGGUAUCCGGCCUGAGAGGGCGCACGGACACACUGGAACUGAAACACGGUCCAGACUCCUACGGGAGGCAGCAGUGGGAUUUGCGCAAUGGGGGAAACCCUGACGCAGCAACGCCGCGUGGAGGAUGAAAUCCCUUGGGAUGUAAACUCCUUUCGAUAGGGAAGAUAAUGACGGUACCUAUAGAAGAAGCCCCGGCUAACUUCGUGCCAGCAGCCGC
rnacentral:rRNA from 1 species